AAAGUUUUUCGGUGUAGGAUGAGGCUAUAUUGUAUCAGCUAGUUGGUGAGGUAAUGGCUCACCAAGGCUAUGACGCAUAACUGGUCUGAGAGGAUGAUCAGUCACACUGGAACUGAGACACGGUCCAGACUCCUACGGGAGGCAGCAGUAGGGAAUAUUGCUCAAUGGGGGAAACCCUGAAGCACCAACGCCGCGUGGAGGAUGACACUUUUCGGAGCGUAAACUCCUUUUGUUAGGGAAGAACAAUGACGGUACCUAACGAAUAAGCACCGGCUAACUCCGUGCCAGCAGCCGCGGUAAUACGGAGGGUGCAAGCGUUACUCGGAAUCACUGGGCGUAAAGGACGCGUAGGCGGAUUAUCAAGUCUCUUGUGAAAUCCUAUGGCUUAACCAUAGAACUGCUUGGGAAACUGAUAAUCUAGAGUGAGGGAGAGGCAGAUGGAAUUGGUGGUGUAGGGGUAAAAUCCGUAGAGAUCACCAGGAAUACCCAUUGCGAAGGCGAUCUGCUGGAACUCAACUGACGCUAAUGCGUGAAAGCGUGGGGAGCAAACAGGAUUAGAUACCCUGGUAGUCCACGCCCUAAACGAUGUAUACUAGUUGUUGCUAAGCUAGUCUUGGCAGUAAUGCACCUAACGGAUUAAGUAUACCGCCUGGGGAGUACGGUCGCAAGAUUAAAACUCAAAGGAAUAGACGGGGACCCGCACAAGCGGUGGAGCAUGUGGUUUAAUUCGAAGAUACGCGAAGAACCUUACCCGGACUUGAUAUCUAACAAAUCAUCUAGAGAUAGAAGAGUGUCUGCUUGCAGAAAUGUUAAGACAGGUGCUGCACGGCUGUCGUCAGCUCGUGUCGUGAGAUGUUGGGUUAAGUCCCGCAACGAGCGCAACCCACG
rnacentral:rRNA from 1 species